UGUGGUGAACACAAGCUCACAUUUUAUUCUACGACAUAAAAUAGGCCAACUUCACCCCACUCAAGAUUUUUUAAAAGCUGUUACAUGUCUUGAAAAAGGCGGUUGCUAACAAGUGGCUAAACAGGACUACAGAGGCUGUCGACGACAUUAAACAUCAUCAAACCGAACAGGAAUUUUAGGAGAAACAUCUCAUACUAUGUCAAUACCUACAGUACAUGAAGCAUACUGAGACCUCCAUCAGUUUUCCUGAGGUAGAAGAUCUUCCUGAGCUUCUUCAGGUGCUGAAGUUCACAGAAGGUUUCCAGAACCACCAACAUCGCGAUCAAGCCCAAUAUCAGAUAGACUGUAUAGGAGAAAGACAGAUAGGGUUAAAGAGAGAUGGAGAAUGACCCUUGAGGGAGCUCUUUGUCUUUAGCAAUUUAAGCUAAAGUUCAACCAAAGUUAAAAAAGCUAAAGUUCAAGUUUAAAGUUAAGCUAAUCGUUUUAUUGUCUCUAGCACAUACACUACCGUUCUAAUUUUUGGGAAAUAAAUUAAUACUUUUAUUCAG